rnacentral:rRNA from 1 species
CGUACAUGUCUGGAAUGCCGAAGAGAUUUGGCAGUGCUCGCAAGAGAACUGGAACACAGGUGCUGCAUGGCUGUCGUCAGCUCGUGUCGUGAGAUGUUGGGUUAAGUCCCGCAACGAGCGCAACCCUUGUCAUUAGUUGCUACGAAAGGGCACUCUAAUGAGACUGCCGGUGACAAACCGGAGGAAGUGGGGAUGACGUCAAGUCCUCAUGGCCCUUAUGGGUAGGGCUUCACACGUCAUACAAUGGUCGGGACAGAGGGUUGCCAAGCCGCGAGGCGGAGCUAAUCUCAUAAACCCGAUCGUAGUCCGGAUCGCAGUCUGCAACUCGACUGCGUGAAGUCGGAAUCGCUAGUAAUCGCGGAUCAGCAUGUCGCGGUGAAUACGUUCCCGGGUCUUGUACACACCGCCCGUCACACCAUGGGAGUGGGUUUUACCAGAAGUAGUUAGCCUAACCGCAAGGGGGCGAUUACCACGGUAGGAUUCAUGACUGGGGUGAAGUCGUAACAAGGUAGGCGUAGUGCU